ensembl:lncRNA
AUCUUUUCCAAGGAAAUAUAUGGAGUGGUCUUAAAGGAAAUAGCUUUCUCCAGAACACAUCUUCCUUUUGAGAAGACGCAUCUCCUUUUUCCUUGCUACUGCUACUCUUAAAAAUAGGAUGCUAAGGAUAGAGAAGAGGGAAGCAGAGGAGAGAUACAAGAGCAGCUGUCCGUGUCGCGGGGUGUAGCAGGAGAGGCCAGUGUUCAGGGCUCUGUGGGAAGCGGGACACGGCCAGCAGAGGGCAGCAAAGCACGUCCUGCUGCGAAGACCCGCUGCGACCACGGUGAGACGCGGCAAGGCAGACUGGAAAGAAGCCUUCCGCCACACGUUUCUGGGACUUUCUCAGCUAUUUGUGGACCUGAGGUCUGGCUGGACUGACACUACGUUAGCCAGAUUGCUCGGAAGUUGUUUGAUACAUAGUCAUUUUGUCUGGAGAAAGAAAAUCUGGCUGAGGUGAAAAUCCAUAAGCUGCCUCUGAAAGGAAAGACACACACAUCAUCAGCUGACAAUGGCACAGGAAUCCCCUCCUGGACAUCCGCUGACCUUUUACCAAAGGUUGGCCCCACCACAUUCAGGGUCUCCUGUGCCCCAAGUCAUGCUGUUCUAGGUUAAUGCUAUUUUGGGAGCACAGUUCUUCAUUUCAGUGUGAAUUUCUUCAAUUUUUUUCUGCACAAAUUGAGUGAAAUCCUUAGUGCAUUUUCCCUCCUUAGAUGGAUGGAAGCUAAAAGAGAAUGGAAGGCCUCCAGCUGUUUGAGGCUCUGUCCUCAACGACAAUCAAAAUUCUCCAUCUUUUCUUGUUCUUGGCACUUUCUGAUUGAAAUAAGAUUCCAGCAUUUAUCUGCACCUGCAAUUUUGACAAGAAAGGAAAAUUUAAAAGACAAGUGAAAGAAUUCUCUGAGGGAAGUCAAUGAGUCGACAGUAGUCAGACGCCUGUGAAUCUCUUUUUUGCAUUCCUCCGUCAAUUAAGCUGCAGUCACAUAUUGGAGAGCGGAACUUAAAUCUGUGAGUAGAAAUGCAAAAAUGUGCGUCGAUCAGUAGCUGGAACCUUCCUCUGGAGCGAACAUUACUUGGAGAGCAGCUGAUGAUCCAUUUGGCACUGAAAUGGAGAGGAUUUUGAGUCAAAGAGGCCACUUUAAAUUAUAGAUUUGAAUUUAGUUGAAGGUCAAACUUAUCUUGCAUGAAUAAAAUUUCCAGAGAUUUUGGAAUAUACUCAGAAAAUGGCAGGGUAUCUUGAGCAAUAAGCAUUUCCUUUAGGAGAUAAAAGCAGUUUAAUAUUAUUGCCCUCUGCAUAAUUAUUGAUCAUAUUAGCAUAGGAGAUACUGAAAAGGAAGGCGGAAUAACAAGCCGAUGAACACCUUGAUUCUCAACACCUGCAACCAUGAGCUUUGACAGGAAGUUGCCUGGAGACCCAGCAAAAUUGUAAAGGGAAUUUGGCACAGGUCAGUGAUUGUAUUUUGGUUUAAUAAAUGGAAAAGAUGACCCACUGGAAGAAGAAGGGUUAUUUGGUCAAUCCCAUGUGAUAUAAACAAUCCCCCAUCUCCAGAAGUUUGGGAAUCAUCCGUAGGACCACAGUGUUGAUUUGGAUAUCUGGAUGCAUGUAAAACCUUAUUUGAAGCUUCCUGGUAGCCAAGAAGAAGAGGGAAAUAUAGCAAUUUGUAAACUCAUCAUUUGAGAGGGAAAUAUGUACUCAACUCUCAAAGGAAACUAGGACAAUCCUAAGAAAGAUCCCAAAUAUUAAAAACAUUUGAUUCAUGACUGUUACAUUCUUUCCAAAAGCUACUGGUUGCAGAUUAAUGAUUAGGAUUUAGAAAAGUGUAAAUGCACUUCAGGGGUUUUUGAACCUGCUAAUAAGAAUCAACUUCUUGUCCAAAUUCCUCCCCCCAACACUAAUCUAAAGCCUAUGUUUUCCCCCCUAUAGCUUGCUGCGUUAAUUGGAUUACAGAGAUAAUCCCUCUCCGUAAAAAGUAAUCUUUCCAGUUUUUGGAAUCCACAUUCUGCUGUAUUUUGUAGGAUUAUCUCUCAAAGACAACAGAUUAGAAACAUUGGUUAGUGCAAAUAAACCACCUUUGGUGCUAUGAUCCCUUCCAUGAAGAUGGGGCUGGGGAGGCUGCAGGGUUCUAAAGAAUGGAAGAACACUAGAUUAGCAGCCUGAGCACCAGGGUCCUAAUCUCAGUCCUGCCACUCACUAGUAGUAUAAUUUAUGCACCACUUUUCUGGGACUUCACUGAGACUAUUUCCUGUUCAAAAGGAGGAGACAGUACUAGAUCAACAUUUCUCAAAAUGCAGUCCAAAAGAUAUAUGUUGGGGGGUGGACAGUACUGGGAAUUGAAUUCAGGACCUUGUUCAUAGUAGGCAAUUAUUUUACCAUUGAGCUACAUUCCCAACCCUAGUUCUUCAAAAAUAUUAAUAGAUAGUCCAUGAAUGAAGGCUUGGAGGUCAAGUACAUUUAAGAAAAUUUACAUACCAUCAUUUUCUAGGGUAGUGGUGGGAAAUUUAUGGCAUGUGUUCUGCAGCAGUCUAUUUGUAUCACUGAAAGCUCUAAAAGGUUUGCCAUCACAGUUCUAGGGCAUCAUAAUACCCAUUAGCAUGUCACAGGCUUGGAAGAGUCUUGUACAAAGAAGUGUGUGUGUGUGUGUGUGUGUGUGUAAAAAUGUAUUUUAUGUAUAUAACAUUUUUUGAAUGUGGGAGUUUUCAAACUUAUUUGGCCACAGAAUGCUUUUUUUCUAAAGAAAACAUUAACUUUUUGAAUAUGGUUGGUAAAUGUUGAACAAAAUCAAAUGUUCUCAGACUUUUUGAUUUCAGGACUCUUAAAAAUGAGUGAAGGCUGCAGGGAGCUUUUAUUUAUUGAGUUAUUCUAUUGUUAUUUAUCAUAUUAGGAUAUAUUUAUGUAUUAAUUAAAAUAAAAUGAUAAACACACGUUAGUGUAUUAAUAAUGUGGUUUUUCAAAGUAACUAUUUUCAAAAACAAAAUUUAUCUAGAACAGUGGCAUUAUUUUAUAGCUUUGAAAUUAUCUUUAAUCCCUGGACAGAGGUAUCUAAACUCUCAUUUUUAUUUCUGUGUCAAACCUGUUGUGAUAUAUUGUUUGCUGACAUAUAUGAAGAAAAUCCAAUUUUAUAGAGCUAUGAGUUGAAAAAGGGAGAAUUCUAAUAGCUCUUAAUAUAAUUAAGGAUAUUCUUAUACCACAUCAAAAUUCAACAAUGUAUACUAAAGUUUGUAGAAUAUAAAAUGAUAUCAAUGCACUUUUCAGACUCUGUUCCAUUAAAAUUCAUUAGUUUAUCUUAUACUUUGAAUGAAUAAAAUCAUGCAUGCUUACAUAACAUUAUGUGUUUCUCAUUUGGAAAAUAUUGGUUCACUGAGUUAUGCAGAUCUUCCAGUUGUUGACACAUUUUGUUACACAACUAAACAGUACCAAGUAUACAAUAUCCAAAAAUCACAUUUGUUAUUAUCACCACAAACAUCAUCUGAAAGGUACUGGAAAGCUAUCAAGCUCACUGUGACAGGCAC